rnacentral:rRNA from 1 species
GAUCCUGGCUCAGAUUGAACGCUGGCGGCAGGCCUAACACAUGCAAGUCGAACGGUAACAGAAAGCAGCUUGCUGCUUUGCUGACGAGUGGCGGACGGGUGAGUAAUGUCUGGGAAACUGCCUGAUGGAGGGGGAUAACUACUGGAAACGGUAGCUAAUACCGCAUAACGUCGCAAGACCAAAGAGGGGGGACCCUUCGGGCCUCCUUUGCCAUCGGAUGUGCCCAGAUGGGAUUAGCUUGUUGGG